rnacentral:rRNA from 1 species
AUUGAACGCUGGCGGCAUGCCUUACACAUGCAAGUCGAACGGCAGCACGGGUGCUUGCACCUGGUGGCGAGUGGCGAACGGGUGAGUAAUGCAUCGGAACGUACCCGGAAGUGGGGGAUAACGUAGCGAAAGUUACGCUAAUACCGCAUAUUCUGUGAGCAGGAAAGCGGGGAUCGCAAGACCUCGCGCUUCCGGAGCGGCCGAUGUCGGAUUAGCUAGUUGGCGGAGUAAAGGCCCACCAAGGCAACGAUCCGUAGCGGGUCUGAGAGGAUGAUCCGCCACACUGGGACUGAGACACGGCCCAGACUCCUACGGGAGGCAGCAGUGGGGAAUUUUGGACAAUGGGGGCAACCCUGACCCAGCCAUGCCGCGUGAGUGAAGAAGGCCUUCGGGUUGUAAAGCUCUUUCGGCUGGGAAGAAAUCGCAUCUCCUAAUACGGGGUGUGGAUGACGGUACCAGCAUAAGAAGCACCGGCUAACUACGUGCCAGCAGCCGCCGUAACAC